GGCUGGGUAUCUCAGUGGAUUGAGAGCCAAGCCUAGAGGUGGGAGGUCCUAGGUUCGAAUCCAGCCUCAGCCA
rfam:Monodelphis domestica cont3.069326, whole genome shotgun sequence.